AAACGCGGCAAAUGCCAAUGUUGCUGAAGGGAAAGCAUGUUGGGGGCGCUGUCCCAGAUGCCCUGCUGCAGAACUAGUCAACCUAGAAAUGUAAAGACCAGAAUGUGAUCGCAGAGAAAUUCCUUGUCGAUUUAAAAAAGAAGGCUUCAGGACUCGGGGAGAUUUGAAUGCCUCCCAUGUGCCCAGUUUGAAAACAAGUAUUAUGACAAAAAAUUAGAGAGGAACGUGUUCUUGUCCACAGAAACGUUCGUUCCAAGAGUCAGGAAACUGGAAGACACGUGCAGUUAAGAGUCGGAGAAGAAACAAGUCUGCAUCGAGAAACAAAUUCUGAGAAGUCGCCAGCAGGUGGUGCGAUGAAACAAGACUUGAUCUUGGAGCCUAAAAAGCAAAGCAAGACAAAAACAUGAAAAGCAGCCAACAUGCCACCUAGUCAUUGGAAAACAUUUUUGUGAAUUUCCUGCUAUCUACAAUCUCCCUCCAAUAUCUUCCGUCAUACAAAAGAAUCUGGUACAUAUGGCUUCACUGGGGAACUGUCAGACUUCAUUCUCCAAAUGCAUUGAACAAAGAAAAACAUAGAUGCUCCAUGUUUUCUCCCUUUUGUUUCACAGAGGGCCUUCAAAAUAAUAGAGGAGUGGCUGGGAUUCAUGAUAUAGGGCUUUUGUGUCUGCAACAAAUGAGGAGAGCAAAGGUGUCUACUAAUACAUUCCUCGUGUAUUCUGCGAUGGCAUUUGGCUUUUGAGAUGAAUUAGGAAGUGUUCAGCUUCUAAACCUUUAUCAAGCACUUCCUUCCACACAUCUCUGGCCAUUGGAGGUUGGGGAAAUUUUCACUAGAGAUUUC